GGCCGAAGUCAGAUGUCGACUGGAGUUCCCUUGACCACUUCAUUGAGAAGCUAAUGCUAAGUGCUUUCACUGAAGUGUUUGGGGGAACUCUAGGGGUCAUUUGACAAAAAAUUUACGAGGGCUUUAGUCAGAUGUUAACUGGAGUUCCCUUGACCACUUCAUUGGAAAGUUGAUGCUACAAGCUCUCAUUGAAAUGUUUGGGGAAACUCUACAAGCCAUUUGACAAAAAAAUGUUGGCC
rnacentral:pre_miRNA from 1 species